AACUUAUUAUGGCAAGCCCGGAACAAUCCGGCGGCGCAAAACUAUAGGGCCUAAAAUGUUAACAUUAUGGCGGCCAGUUGCCGCG
rnacentral:ncRNA from 2 species